AACAUUUAAGCUGCGCUCCUCACCUGAGCAGAAUUGAAGGUCAGGUGUUGCUGACAGAUAGGUUCUUAAAUGGAGGCAUGUGAAAGCAAGGAAAGUGAAACUUCAGCUAGACCU